AUCCAGAUGACGAGUCCCAAAUAGGACGAAAUGCGCGUUAUCCUGGACUGGAU
rfam:Trichobilharzia regenti genome assembly, scaffold: TRE_scaffold0117007